GAGUCCCUUUGAUAUUGGCCUGGUUCACUCAGAUCUUACCUGACCACACACGUAGAUAUUCAUUAUUCUCUCUAGAUUAUCUGAUUGAGCCGCGCCAAUAUCUCAGUACUCUCU
rnacentral:pre_miRNA from 14 species